AGUGAACGCUGGCGGUAGGCCUAACACAUGCAAGUCGAACGGCAGCACAGUAAGAGCUUGCUCUUACGGGUGGCGAGUGGCGGACGGGUGAGGAAUACAUCGGAAUCUACUUUUUCGUGGGGGAUAACGUAGGGAAACUUACGCUAAUACCGCAUACGACCUACGGGUGAAAGCAGGGGAUCUUCGGACCUUGCGCGAUUGAAUGAGCCGAUGUCGGAUUAGCUAGUUGGCGGGGUAAAGGCCCACCAAGGCGACGAUCCGUAGCUGGUCUGAGAGGAUGACCAGCCACACUGUAACUGAGACACGGUCCAGACUCCUACGGGAGGCAGCAGUGGGGAAUAUUGGACAAUGGGCGCAAGCCUGAUCCAGCCAUACCGCGUGGGUGAAGAAGGCCUUCGGGUUGUAAAGCCCUUUUGUUGGGAAAGAAAAGCAGCAGGUUAAUACCCCGCUGUUCUGACGGUACCCAAAGAAUAAGCACCGGCUAACUUCGUG
rnacentral:rRNA from 1 species